rnacentral:rRNA from 1 species
UUGACCUCAAAUCAGGUGGGACUACCCGCUGAACUUAAGCAUAUCAAUAAGCGGAGGAAAAGAAACUAACAAGGAUUCCCCUAGUAACUGCGAGUGAAGCGSGAAAAGCUCAAAUUUAAAAUCUGGCGGUCUCCGGCCGUCCGAGUUGUAGUCUGGAGAAGCGUCUUCCGCGUUGGACCGUGUACAAGUCUCCUGGAACGGAGCGUCAUAGAGGGUGAGAAUCCCGUCUUUGACACGGACCCCAGUGCUCUGUGAUGCGCUCUCAAAGAGUCGAGUUGUUUGGGAAUGCAGCUCAAAAUGGGUGGUGAAUUCCAUCUAAAGCUAAAUAUUGGCGAGAGACCGAUAGCGAACAAGUACCGUGAGGGAAAGAUGAAAAGCACUUUGGAAAGAGAGUUAAACAGUACGUGAAAUUGUUGAAAGGGAAACGCUUGAAGUCAGUCGCGUCGGCCGGGACUCAGCCUUGCAUUCGCUUGGUGUACUUUCCGGUUGACGGGCCAGCAUCAGUUUUGACCGCGGGAUAAAGGCGAGGGGAAUGUGGCUCUCUCGGGAGUGUUAUAGCCCUUUGUCAGAUGUCGCGGUUGGGACUGAGGUACUCAGCACGCCUUUAUGGCCGGGGUUCGCCCACGUACGUGCUUAGGAUGCUGGCGUAAUGGCUUUAAACGACCCGUCUUGAAACACGGACCAAGGAGUCUAACAUGCCUGCGAGUGUUCGGGUGGAAAACCCGUGCGCGCAAUGAAAGUGAAAGUUGGGAUCCCUGUCGUGGGGUGCACCGACGCCCGGACCAGACCUUCUGUGACGGAUCUGCGGUAGAGCAUGUAUGUUGGGACCCGAAAGAUGGUGAACUAUGCCUGAAUAGGGUGAAGCCAGAGGAAACUCUGGUGGAGGCUCGUAGCGAUUCUGACGUGCAAAUCGAUCGUCAAAUUUGGGUAUAGGGGCGAAAGACUAAUCGAACCAUCUAGUAGCUG